AAGAUUUAACAUUUCAAUUUAUAUAUUAUUUUUAUAAAUUUAAUUUUACUAUAAUGUAAAAAGACAUUUCUAAUAAAGAAAGACGAUAAGACCCUAUUGAACUUUACUUAAGUUAAACUGGGGCAGUUUAUUAAUUUUAAUUUUAUUAAUUCAUUAAUUAAUCAAUAUCAAGUAAAAUUGAAUCAUUUAAGUUACCAUAGGGAUAACAGCGCAAUUAAACUUUAAAGUUCUUAUAUAAAAUUUAGAUUACGACCUCGAUGUUGAAUUAAUAACCUGAUUUAAGCAAAUUUUUAAAAAGGAAGUCUGUUCGACUUUUAAAUAAUUACAUGAUUUGAGUUCAGACCGGUAUAAGCCAGGUCGGCUUCUAUCUUCUUCAAUAAUUUUUACAGUACGAAAGGGCCUAAUAAUAUUAAUACUUUAUUUAUAUUAGCAGAAAAAUGCAUUAGAAUUAGAAUCUAAUUAAACUUUA
rnacentral:rRNA from 1 species